GACGAACGCUGGCGGCGUGCCUAAUACAUGCAAGUAGGACGCAGUUGCGAACGGGUGAGUAACGCGUAGGUAACUACCUAUUAGAGGGGGAUAACUAUUGGAAACGAUAGAUAAUACCGCAUACUAGUAGAUGGAACUGUGUUGUAUUAGCUAGUAGGUAGGGUAAAGGCCUACCUAGGCAACGAUACAUAGCCGCACUUGUGGGGUGUACGGCCCCACUGGGACUGAGACACGGCCCAGACUCCUACGGGAGGCAGCAGUAGGGAAUCUUCGGAAAUGGGGGGAACCCUGACCGAGCAACGCCGCGUGAGUGAAGCAGGUUUUCGGAUCGUAAAGCUCUGUUGUUAAGGAAGCGGUACUUAACCAGAAAGGGACGGCUAACUACGUGCCAGCAGCCGCGGUAAUAC
rnacentral:rRNA from 1 species